rnacentral:rRNA from 1 species
AUUGAACGCUGGCGGCAGGCCUAACACAUGCAAGUCGAGCGGAUGAAGAGAGCUUGCUCUCUGAUUUAGCGGCGGACGGGUGAGUAAUGCCUAGGAAUCUGCCUGGUAGUGGGGGAUAACGUCCGGAAACGGGCGCUAAUACCGCAUACGUCCUACGGGAGAAAGCAGGGGACCUUCGGGCCUUGCGCUAUCAGAUGAGCCUAGGUCGGAUUAGCUAGUUGGUGAGGUAAUGGCUCACCAAGGCGACGAUCCGUAACUGGUCUGAGAGGAUGAUCAGUCACACUGGAACUGAGACACGGUCCAGACUCCUACGGGUGGCGGCAGUGGGGAAUAUUGGACAAUGGGCGAAAGCCUGAUCCAGCCAUGCCGCGUGUGUGAAGAAGGUCUUCGGAUUGUAAAGCACUUUAAGUUGGGAGGAAGGGCAGUAAGUUAAUACCUUACUGUUUUGACGUUACCGACAGAAUAAGCACCGGCUAACUUCGUGCCAGCCGCCGCCGUAACAC